GACAGAGGGUGCAAACGUUUGUUCGGAAUUACUGGGCGUAAAGCGCGUGUAGGCGGCCCUGCAAGUCGGAUGUGAAAUCCCACGGCUCAACCGUGGAAGUGCAUUCGAAACUGCAGGGCUAGAGUCCUGGAGAGGAAGGUGGAAUGCUUGGUGUAGAGGUGAAAUUCGUAGAUAUCAAGCGGAACACCGGUGGCGAAGGCGGCCUUCUGGACAGUGACUGACGCUGAGACGCGAAAGCGUGGGGAGCAAACAGGGAU
rnacentral:rRNA from 1 species